rnacentral:rRNA from 1 species
AUUGAACGCUGGCGGCAUGCCUUACACAUGCAAGUCGAACGGCAGCACGGGUGCUUGCACCUGGUGGCGAGUGGCGAACGGGUGAGUAAUAUAUCGGAACGUACCUUAUUGUGGGGGAUAACGCAGCGAAAGCUGUGCUAAUACCGCAUAAUCCCUAAGGGGGAAAGCGGGGGACCGUAAGGCCUCGCGCAAUUAGAGCGGCCGAUACCUGAUUAGCUAGUUGGUGAGGUAAAGGCUAACGAAGGCAACGAUCAGUAGCUGGUCUGAGAGGACGAUCAGCCACACUGGGACUGAGACACGGCCCAGACUCCUACGGGAGGCAGCAGUGGGGAAUUUUGGACAAUGGGGGCAACCCUGAUCCAGCAAUGCCGCGUGAGUGAAGAAGGCCUUCGGGUUGUAAAGCUCUUUUGUCAGGGAAGAAACAGCAGCUCUAACACAGUUUGCGAAUGACGGUACCUGAAGAAUAAGCACCGGCUAACUACGUGCCAGCAGCCGCGGUAA